rnacentral:lncRNA from 1 species
GAAACGACAACUUUCCUACCAUCUUGGAGGCAGAGGAGAGAGGGGCCAAGGGGAGAAGUGCACCGGCUCCAGCCAGAUAAAGUCCAAAUUUCUACCUCUCAUCGCUGGAAAAAAGCCCAUACUUGAGAAAAAGCAGGGAAGAAACAGAAAGGAGGUCGUGUGCUCCGUGGUGGGGAAUGUUUCUGCACCUUCUGAUGGAAAGAAAUCUUUACAAGACACAGAACACACGGAGAAUUUUAAUGUACACAUGCAAGAACAAAAGCCUGUGAAGCUGGAACGCAACUGUAGCAUUAAACAGCGGUGCCUCAAAACGUGGAUUUGUACCAACUAGAAGAACAACAUCUGCUUCUUCCACACCAGCAAUUGUGGUAUUGAGAAGAUAAUUGGAACGAAACCGAUAGCUGAGAACAGCUUUAACACUCAUCUUCAAUCCAAGUACUUAGGAGGUAAAGACAGAAAGUUCUUCUGCUACACAGAGUUCAAGGCCAGCCUGGGCUACAAGAAACUCAAAAAUCAAAAUGAAAUCCAAAACAGCAGCCUGGAGCACAGCUUAAUGCUUCUCACCCAGCUCCUUCAGUGGGGAAGAUCUCUUCAGUGCAUAAGUUGUCAGAGUCAACUUUAUUAAGCAAGUCUUUCAGAGCUACUAAGGCUUCAGCAUCCACCAAGCCUCCUGCAAUC